rnacentral:rRNA from 1 species
UACGUAGGGUGCGAGCGUUGUCCGGAAUUAUUGGGCGUAAAGCGCUCGUAGGCGGUUUGUUGCGUCGGCCGUGAAAACCUGCAGCUUAACUGUGGGCCUGCGGCCGAUACGGGCAGACUUGAGUUCGGUAGGGGAGACUGGAAUUCCUGGUGUAGCGGUGAAAUGCGCAGAUAUCAGGAGGAACACCGAUGGCGAAGGCAGGUCUCUGGGCCACUACUGACGCUGAGGAGCGAAAGCCAGGGGAGCAAACGGG